rnacentral:tRNA from 1 species
CAAGAAACGACGGCGUGAGUCUUCACGCAAGACGUCCACACAAGACACCUGUACUUCACGCGAAGGGUUUGCUUUACGCAACGUCCCUGUUGCGAAGAGCAGACAUCAAGACCGGCCAUCCAUGGCCGGACUCUUCACAACAGCCGCUUCGAACGAGGCUUACGGCCACGUCAAGCGGGACCAGGUAGCUUGGCUCGCGGGUUCUGGGGUUCACCUUUCAUGGGUCUGUAGCUCAGGUGGUUAGAGCGCACCCCUGAUAAGGGUGAGGCCGGUGGUUCGAGUCCACCCAGACCCACCAUGGGGCCAUAGCUCAGCUGGGAGAGCACCUGCUUUGCAAGCAGGGGGUCGUCGGUUCGAUCCCGACUGGCUCCACCACUCAAGCGCCGCGUGAAGUAUCAGCACACACAAGAUUUGAAGUCAUCCGGCAUUGAGGCCGGUGUGACGUUCUUUGAAAACAAGUAAACGAGUGACAAGCGUCUUGGUUCGAACCGAACCGAGGCAAGUGUUAAGGCACGAAAACGAAGUAACUUGGCUGCACCUGAGGAGGGUGCAUGCCCCGAGGCGACUUGGGGUUAUAUGG